GGGGAAUUAGCUCAGUUGGCUAGAGCGUUUGCAUGGCAUGCAAGAGGUCAUCAGUUCGACUCCGAUAUUCUCACU
rnacentral:tRNA from 1 species